UACGAAGGGUGCAAGCGUUACUCGGAAUUACUGGGCGUAAAGCGUGCGUAGGUGGUGAGUUAAGUCUGUCGUGAAAGCCCCGGGCUCAACCUGGGAAUGGCGAUGGAUACUGGCUCGCUAGAGUGCGGUAGAGGAGAGUGGAAUUCCCGGUGUAGCAGUGAAAUGCGUAGAGAUCGGGAGGAACAUCAGUUGCGAAGGCGGCUCUCUGGACCAGCACUGACACUGAGGCGCGAAAGCGUGGGGAGCAAACAGG
rnacentral:rRNA from 1 species